AGUAGCUCUGUCAAUUGUGGGGGCAUCAGAUAAAUCAAUUUAAGCUGGAAAAGUCCUUUGAGGUAUCCAGGUGGUUCGUAAGGCCACAUAAGUCUGUCAAAUAUCAUCGCUUUAGAGAUUUCUGAGAUUUCAGAGGAUAUCAGGUCUUGAUGCUUGGAAAGAGGCAAUCGGCAAGAUUUUAGCAAAGGGACUCUGAGACAAAAGCCACAGGUUUUUGUUCGUCCAUGCAUGCUUUCCUCAGUUUCACUGUGCAGCACCUCUCAAACUUUCAUGAGAAAUUUGGGGUGCCCUGGCACUCUGUGUUUUUCUAACCGGCUCCCGGCCGACACUGAGGCUAGUGGUUCUUGAACCACGCGUCGGUAUUAGGGUGCUGUGCAGUACGUAGCUCGAGGAAGGCACUUCCACAGAAGGCAGUAGCCUACCUCCACCCUGUUUACCACCUGCAGGAUUCAUCUCAUCUCUUCACUCAAGAAAAUUGGGCAGCCCUGUGCGGGAGGCCUGACUUGCACUAGCGGCUGGAGACAAAGGCUCAAUUGGCCACCGAGACACAUUCCAAGGACACUUAGCAAAACACCACAUCGAAAACAAAUAAGUAUGGGUGAGCCCUGGAGAAAAGAUACAAAGGCAACCUCUAAGGGGCAUGAAGGGCUCUUUUGUUUGCAGCUCGGGGUGCGGGAGGCGGGGAGAUUCUCACCACUGAAGUGGACGUAAACACACGUCAGACGCGAGCCCAGACGUGGGUGUCACCAACCCCUUUCAAUGACAAGCCCCACAGUAGACGAGGACGUUUUUGGUUGCGCAAGCGGCUUCUGAAGUGGUUCCUGUGGGCACUGCGGGAAUUCUCCGGAGCCUCACAGUCCCCGAUGUGGGAUAGACCAGAGAGCUGGGGAACGGGAGCCCGCCUGAGAUGGAGGAUCCAGGCCCCUCGGGGCGUCCCCACGUCAGAUCCCUGGGGUCAAGCCUGUCCCCAGGAUGACUCCCCAGGUUUUGACCUGAUCGCUGCACCCAUGAGGCUCCCGGUGUCCGGGCGCUCCUCAGGUCCCCGACACGGAGGCAGGCUUGGGAUGACUGCAACCUGCUCUCAUGAGUCACAGCAGGUGCCUGUCGAGACCCACACGGACCCGGGCGGGCAGGACCUCGGAUGCUGACUCCCUGUGGGGUCAGGACCUCCUUCCUCCAGGUUCUGCCGUCUGAGGCCGCAGCCUGCUCCUCCCCGGCCUGCUUCUCAUCCAGGGCACGCCGGCUGCCCCCCACUAGCUGCUUAUCCCAGAGCCCGGGAGUCAGUCCCACUCCCCAGAUUCUGCGCCUGGUCUUGUCCACU
rnacentral:lncRNA from 1 species